AAAAAGGGUGCUCGCUACUUCAAUAGCGCGCGAUGUCCUAGACGUUGCGGGGUAUGGCUAUCAAGACAUACCCAGUACGUAAUUUUUGAAAACAUGAGGCUGUUAGCUGCCACCUGCACUGACGCCUCU
rfam:Cerapachys biroi unplaced genomic scaffold scaffold372, whole genome shotgun sequence.